UACGUAGGGUGCAAGCGUUGUCCGGAAUUAUUGGGCGUAAAGAGCUCGUAGGCGGUUUGUCGCGUCUGCUGUGAAAACCCGAGGCUCAACCUCGGGCCUGCAGUGGGUACGGGCAGACUAGAGUGCGGUAGGGGAGAUUGGAAUUCCUGGUGUAGCGGUGGAAUGCGCAGAUAUCAGGAGGAACACCGGUGGCGAAGGCGGGUCUCUGGGCCGAUAUCGACGCUGAGGAGCGAAAGCGUGGGGAGCGAACAGG
rnacentral:rRNA from 1 species